AAAUCUAUUCAGAAUUCAGUUCUCAGUCAUGCAUCGAUAGAUACUUGAUUUAAGGUAUCCUUGUUAAUUUCUUGUACUGAAAUUUUUUAUAGAAAUAUUCUAUAAAAAUUUCUUUAUUUUAUCAUCGCUCAAUUUAAAUUUUGGCAAAUUUAUCACUAUAGAUUCAUAUUCAAAAAUCUAAGUCAAGGCGUAAAUUCAAAAUGGCGAAAAUAAUUUUGUUAUUAUGUAUUUUCUUAUUAAUUGGAAUAUAUUCUAGUGCUGAUGCAGGCUGUGACGGCAAAUGGUGUCAUCCGUCACAGGGUCAUAAUUGUUGUCAAAAUCAUGUAUGCAGUGCGCAGUUCUGGCAAGGUAAUUGCAUACCACUGGAAGAUUGGUUGUGGCGACGAGGAAAAUAAAAAUUUGGAAUUAUUUGUCACGAUAAUUAUCAUGACAAGAAUAAUAUCAUUAUUCUGUAAUAUUAUUCUAUAUAAAUAAUAAAUAUCAAUAAAAAACUCAAUAAUA